UAGGGAAUCUUCCGCAAUGGACGAAAGUCUGACGGAGCAACGCCGCGUGAGUGAUGACGGCCUUCGGGUUGUAAAGCUCUGUUAAUCGGGACGAAAGGCCUUCUUGCGAAUAGUUAGAAGGAUUGACGGUACCGGAAUAGAAAGCCACGGCUAACUACGUGCCAGCAGCCGCGGUAAUACGUAGGUGGCAAGCGUUGUCCGGAAUUAUUGGGCGUAAAGCGCGCGCAGGCGGAUCAGUCAGUCUGUCUUAAAAGUUCGGGGCUUAACCCCGUGAUGGGAUGGAAACUGCUGAUCUAGAGUAUCGGAGAGGAAAGUGGAAUUCCUAGUGUAGCGGUGAAAUGCGUAGAUAUUAGGAAGAACACCAGUGGCGAAGGCGACUUUCUGGACGAAAACUGACGCUGAGGCGCGAAAGCCAGGGGAGCGAACGGGAUUAGAUACCCCGGUAGUCCUGGCCGUAAACGAUGGGUACUAGGUGUAGGAGGUAUCGACCCCUUCUGUGCCGGAGUUAACGCAAUAAGUACCCCGCCUGGGGAGUACGACCGCAAGGUUG
rnacentral:rRNA from 1 species